rnacentral:rRNA from 1 species
GAUGAACGCUGGCGGCGUGCCUAAUACAUGCAAGUCGAGCGAACGGACGAGAAGCUUGCUUCUCUGAUGUUAGCGGCGGACGGGUGAGUAACACGUGGAUAACCUACCUAUAAGACUGGGAUAACUUCGGGAAACCGUAGCUAAUACCGGAUAAUAUUUUGAACCGCAUGGUUCAAAAGUGAAAGACGGUCUUGCUGUCACUUAUAGAUGGAUCCGCGCUGCAUUAGCUAGUUGGUAAGGUAACGGCUUACCAAGGCAACGAUGCAUAGCCGACCUGAGAGGGGGAUCGGCCACCCUGGCACUGAGAAACGGUCCAGACUCAGUAGGGAGGCAGCAGCAGGGAAUCUUCCGCAAGGGGCGAAAGCCUGACGGAGCAACCCCGCGUGAGUGAUGCAGGUCUUCGGAUCGUAAAACUCUGUUAUCAGGGAAGAACAUAUGUGCAAGUAACUGUGCACACCUGGACGGUACCUAAUCAGAAAUCCACGGCUAACUACGUG